CCAAGGACCAUGUGUUUAACGGCCGCGGUAUCUUAACCGUGCGAAGGUAGCGUAAUCACUCGUCUUUUAAAUAAAGACCCGUAUGAACGGUAAAACGAGGGCUUAGCUGUCUCCUUUUUCAGGUCAAUGAAAUUGAUCUUCCCGUGCAAAAGCGGGAAUUAUAACAUAAGACGAGAAGACCCUGUGAAGCUUUAGACACCAAGACAGCCCCCGUCAAACCCUCCUAACAAAGAACUAAACAUCAAACCCUGUCUCAACGUCUUCGGUUGGGGUGACCGCGGAGAACCACUAAACCCCCGCAUGGAAUGGGGACACAACAUAUAAUUAUAUCCCCAAAGCCAAGAGCCUCCGCUCUAAUACACAGAAUUUCUGACCUUACAUGAUCCGGCAACGCCGAUCAAUGAACCAAGUUACUCCAGGGAUAACAGCGCCAUCCUCUUCCAGAGCCCCCAUCGACAAGAGGGUUUACGACCUCGAUGUUGGAUCAGGACAUCCUAAUGGUGCAGCCGCUAUUAAGGGUUCGUUUGUUCAACGAUUAACAGUCCUA
rnacentral:rRNA from 1 species